AGGACGAACGCUGGCGGCGUGCUUAACACAUGCAAGUCGAGCGGAAAGGCCCUUCGGGGUACUCGAGCGGCGAACGGGUGAGUAACACGUGAGCAACCUGCCCUUGGCUCUGGGAUAGCCUCCGGAAACGGGGAUUAAUACCGGACAUUCACUUUCUCCUGCAUGGGGGUUGGUGGAAAGUUUUUCGGCCAGGGAGGGGCUCGCGGCCUAUCAGCUUGUUGGCGGGGUAACGGCCCACCAAGGCGACGACGGGUAGCCGGCCUGAGAGGGCGAUCGGCCACACUGGGGACUGAGACACGGCCCAGACUCCUACGGGAGGCAGCAGUGGGGAAUAUUGCACAAUGGGCGCAAGCCUGAUGCAGCGACGCCGCGUGGGGGAUGAAGGCCUUCGGGUUGUAAACCCUUUCACCAGGAGCGAAUUCAGACGGUACCGUGGGAAGAGCGCCGGCUAACUACGUGCCAGCAGCCGC
rnacentral:rRNA from 1 species